rnacentral:rRNA from 1 species
AUUGAACGCUGGCGGCAUGCCUUACACAUGCAAGUCGAACGGUAACAGGUUAAGCUGACGAGUGGCGAACGGGUGAGUAAUGUAUCGGAACGUGCCCAGUCGUGGGGGAUAACUACUCGAAAGAGUGGCUAAUACCGCAUACGACCUGAGGGUGAAAGCGGGGGACCGUAAGGCCUCGCGCGAUUGGAGCGGCCGAUAUCAGAUUAGCUAGUUGGCGGGGCAAAAGCCCACCAAGGCGACGAUCUGUAGCUGGUCUGAGAGGACGACCAGCCACACUGGGACCGAGACACGGCCCAGACUCCUACGGGAGGCAGCAGUGGGGAAUUUUGGACAAUGGACGCAAGUCUGAUCCAGCCAUGCCGCGUGCGGGAAGAAGGCCUUCGGGUUGUAAACCGCUUUUGUCAGGGAAGAAACGCUCUGAUUAAUACUCUGGGGUAAUGACGGUACCUGAAGAAUAAGCACCGGCUAACUACGUGCCAGCCGCCGCAGUAAUAC